UACGUAGGGGGCUAGCGUUAUCCGGAUUCACUGGGUUUAAAGGGUGCGUAGGUGGGCAGGUAAGUCAGUGGUGAAAUCCUGUAGCUUAACUACAGAACUGCCAUUGAUACUAUUUGUCUUGAAUACCCUGGAGGUGAGCGGAAUAUGUCAUGUAGCGGUGAAAUGCUUAGAUAUGACAUAGAACAUCUAUUGCGAAGGCAGCUCACUACGGGAAUAUUGACGCUGAGGCACGAAAGCGUGGGGAUCAAACAGG
rnacentral:rRNA from 1 species